rnacentral:rRNA from 1 species
GGUUAAGUUAGAAAGGGCGCACGGUGGAUGCCUUGACACUAGGAGUCGAUGAAGGACGGGACUAACGCCGAUAUGCUUCGGGGAGCUGUAAGUAAGCUUUGAUCCGAAGAUUUCCGAAUGGGGAAACCCACCAUACGUAAUGGUAUGGUAUCCUUAUCUGAAUACAUAGGGUAAGGAAGACAGACCCAGGGAACUGAAACAUCUAAGUACCUGGAGGAAGAGAAAGCAAAUGCGAUUUCCUGAGUAGCGGCGAGCGAAACGGAACAUAGCCCAAACCAAGAGGCUUGCCUCUUGGGGUUGUAGGACAUUCUAUACGGAGUUACAAAGGAACGAGGUAGACGAAGCGACCUGGAAAGGUCCGUCGUAGAGGGUAACAACCCCGUAGUCGAAACUUCGUUCUCUCUUGAAUGUAUCCUGAGUACGGCGGAACACGUGAAAUUCCGUCGGAAUCUGGGAGGACCAUCUCCCAAGGCUAAAUACUCCCUAGUGAUCGAUAGUGAACCAGUACCGUGAGGGAAAGGUGAAAAGCACCCCGGAAGGGGAGUGAAAGAGAUCCUGAAACCGUGUGCCUACAAAUAGUCAGAGCCCGUUAACGGGUGAUGGCGUGCCUUUUGUAGAAUGAACCGGCGAGUUACGAUCCCGUGCGAGGUUAAGCUGAAGAGGCGGAGCCGCAGCGAAAGCGAGUCUGAAUAGGGCGUUUAGUACGUGGUCGUAGACCCGAAACCAGGUGAUCUACCCAUGUCCAGGGUGAAGUUCAGGUAACACUGAAUGGAGGCCCGAACCCACGCACGUUGAAAAGUGCGGGGAUGAGGUGUGGGUAGCGGAGAAAUUCCAAUCGAACCUGGAGAUAGCUGGUUCUCCCCGAAAUAGCUUUAGGGCUAGCCUUAAGUGUAAGAGUCUUGGAGGUAGAGCACUGAUUGGACUAGGGGUCCUCAUCGGAUUACCGAAUUCAGUCAAACUCCGAAUGCCAAUGACUUAUCCUUAGGAGUCAGACUGCGAGUGAUAAGAUCCGUAGUCAAAAGGGAAACAGCCCAGACCGCCAGCUAAGGUCCCAAAGUGUGUAUUAAGUGGAAAAGGAUGUGGAGUUGCUUAGACAACUAGGAUGUUGGCUUAGAAGCAGCCACCAUUUAAAGAGUGCGUAAUAGCUCACUAGUCGAGUGACUCUGCGCCGAAAAUGUACCGGGGCUAAAUACACCACCGAAGCUGCGGAUUGAUACCGAAUGGUAUCAGUGGUAGGGAGCGUUCUAAGGACAGUGAAGUCAGACCGUAAGGACUGGUGGAGUGCUUAGAAGUGAGAAUGCCGGUAUGAGUAGCGAAAGACGGGUGAGAAUCCCGUCCACCGAAUGCCUAAGGUUUCCUGAGGAAGGCUCGUCCGCUCAGGGUUAGUCAGGACCUAAGCCGAGGCCGACAGGCGUAGGCGAUGGACAACAGGUUGAUAUUCCUGUACCACCUCUUUAUCGUUUGAGCAAUGGAGGGACGCAGAAGGAUAGAAGAAGCGUGCGAUUGGUUGUGCACGUCCAAGCAGUUAGGCUGAUAAGUAGGCAAAUCCGCUUAUCAUAAAGGCUGAGCUGUGAUGGGGAAGCUCCUUAUGGAGCGAAGUCUUUGAUUCCCCGCUGCCAAGAAAAGCUUCUAGCGAGAUAAAAGGUGCCUGUACCGCAAACCGACACAGGUAGGCGAGGAGAGAAUCCUAAGGUGUGCGAGAGAACUCUGGUUAAGGAACUCGGCAAAAUGACCCCGUAACUUCGGGAGAAGGGGUGCUUUCUUAACGGAAAGCCGCAGUGAAUAGGCCCAAGCGACUGUUUAGCAAAACACAGCUCUCUGCGAAGCCGUAAGGCGAAGUAUAGGGGGUGACACCUGCCCGGUGCUGGAAGGUUAAGGAGAGGGGUUAGCGUAAGCGAAGCUCUGAACUGAAGCCCCAGUAAACGGCGGCCGUAACUAUAACGGUCCUAAGGUAGCGAAAUUCCUUGUCGGGUAAGUUCCGACCCGCACGAAAGGUGUAACGAUUUGGGCACUGUCUCAACCAGAGACUCGGUGAAAUUAUAGUACCUGUGAAGAUGCAGGUUACCCGCGACAGGACGGAAAGACCCCGUGGAGCUUUACUGUAGCCUGAUAUUGAAUUUUGGUACAGUUUGUACAGGAUAGGCGGGAGCCAUUGAAACCGGAGCGCUAGCUUCGGUGGAGGCGCUGGUGGGAUACCGCCCUGACUGUAUUGAAAUUCUAACCUACGGGUCUUAUCGACCCGGGAGACAGUGUCAGGUGGGCAGUUUGACUGGGGCGGUCGCCUCCUAAAGUGUAACGGAGGCGCCCAAAGGUUCCCUCAGAAUGGUUGGAAAUCAUUCGUAGAGUGCAAAGGCAUAAGGGAGCUUGACUGCGAGACCUACAAGUCGAGCAGGGACGAAAGUCGGGCUUAGUGAUCCGGUGGUUCCGCAUGGAAGGGCCAUCGCUCAACGGAUAAAAGCUACCCCGGGGAUAACAGGCUUAUCUCCCCCAAGAGUCCACAUCGACGGGGAGGUUUGGCACCUCGAUGUCGGCUCAUCGCAUCCUGGGGCUGUAGUCGGUCCCAAGGGUUGGGCUGUUCGCCCAUUAAAGCGGUACGCGAGCUGGGUUCAGAACGUCGUGAGACAGUUCGGUCCCUAUCCGUCGUGGGCGUAGGAAAUUUGAGAGGAGCUGUCCUUAGUACGAGAGGACCGGGAUGGACGCACCGCUGGUGUACCAGUUGUUCUGCCAAGGGCAUAGCUGGGUAGCUAUGUGCGGAAGGGAUAAGUGCUGAAAGCAUCUAAGCAUGAAGCCCCCCUCAAGAUGAGAUUUCCCAUAGCGUAAGCUAGUAAGAUCCCUGAAAGAUGAUCAGGUUGAUAGGUUCGAGGUGGAAGCAUGGUGACAUGUGGAGCUGACGAAUACUAAUAGAUCGAGGACUUAACCAU